rnacentral:lncRNA from 1 species
CUCAGUACUGAUUGAGUACCUACCACAUUCGCAGCCAUUCACAAGGGGCAUGUGGCAGAAGCAAAGGGAGGUUAGGACCUUGCUUUCUCCCUACAAGGAGCUAACACUUGGCUCUGGACCUAGGCCAAGGCUUACAGCUGGAGGGGCUGCCAAAGCCAGUCAUGCUUGACGUGUUAAGAUCCCCACUCCCAAACACACACCAAAGGGCCAAGGCUGGGCCUGGGCAGCCUGCUCCAUUGGGUAACUGGACCAAUCAGAAGGCAGGCAGAGGCGGGAGGACCAGAAAAGGCUGAGAAUGGGUGAAGAUUUAGUCAAUAGGUACCCUGGCUGUGCAUCUCUGUAUGGAACAAAGAUGAGAAUGGGCCAGACCCAUGAGGCAAGCGUGAAGCCAGAACCAGCAGCAAGGAGAGUUAAAAGGAUAUCAGGCCAGAUUAGUCUAUAAAGAGGCUCAGAGAUGGCAGGUUUCUCGCCUCCUUUUGUGACUACACGCCAGGAGCUGAGAGCUCACGUUGGAGGCCUGCCAGUUGGAUGAAAGAACCAACCCAGACAGAGAUCAGAGACAUCCAGCUCCUGCCCAAAGUUCCGCAGCAAGUCAGAGACUCAGCCAGGCCAAACCCCUACACCGUCCUAUGGAUGCUCCAAUUAUACACUUUUGCAACACUGAUUGUGACAGAUCCCGAAGUUAUGAGCUCAUAAAUACUGGGGAAGCUGGAGACGUGCACUUAAUGGGAAAUGUUCUCAUAAUCAAAAGAAUAUUUCAAGCUGUGACAAUGCAGGCCAAAAGAGGGAGAGGGAGCUACUUUUUCUUCAAAGAAUAACAGAAUGUUGAAAUCAACCAGCAGAUGCAACUCUGUCUCCUUCUGAGUCAGCUGGGCUCCCCAGUCUUAGCUGGCAAAAGGUGGAAGUAGGGAGGACCUGGAUUUCCUCCUGGCUUUGUCAUAAGUCACUUUGAA